rnacentral:rRNA from 1 species
UACGGAGGAUCCGAGCGUUAUCCGGAUUUAUUGGGUUUAAAGGGUGCGCAGGCGGGAGAUUAAGUCGGCGGUGAAAUUUUGCAGCUCAACUGUAAAAGUGCCAUCGAUACUGGUUUUCUUGAGUGUGGAUGAAGUAGGCGGAAUUUGUGGUGUAGCGGUGAAAUGCAUAGAUAUCACGAGGAACUCCGAUUGCGCAGGCAGCUUACUAGGCCAUAACUGACGCUCAGGCACGAAGGCGUGGGGAUCAAACAGGAUUAGAUA